UCAGCCUGCAAAGGUUGUUUAAGAUAAUGUUUGCCACUGUAUUGCCUACCCAUAGACUAUGCAGCUGUGUUUUUUAAGCAGUGUUAAAUCGUUUGUGCUCACUUUUUGACUGCUUUCUGAGUCUUCUCCUAUCUUUAGACCAGCUGGGCUUGUCUAGAAUCAAAUUUGUGUUGAAACGUCUAGGAGAGUAGUCACUUCAGGACAUAUUUACCAAUAUAAGGGUGCAUGAUUAUUAAUUUACAAUACAGUGAAAAUAAAGCAGUAUAUUUUGAUAUUAAAAUUUCAUUCACAAUGUAAAAAAAAAGUCUUGCCCAACAUUCAUCAUGCACAAAAAUUUAACACCAGUCCACUGCACAUAGAAGAGCUCACAGCGUCUUUGUUUCACCCUGGUACUGGAUCACAUAGGUACUGUAAAUUUUGCAAUCCUGAAAAAUCUGCCAUGGUAUCAUGAUUGUACAGGAACUGGAAAAGUCUAAUAUGCGAAUGCCUAAUCAGCCCAUAAUUUAUCUCUAAAUAAUGAAUAAUGUUCAUUGUGUGUUAUAUUCUUUUUGUCUGGGUCUCAAGAAACUCUAAUGAUAUGUUGCCCACGUAACAGAAAUACGAUUUUUUCAUUCAUUACUGCACUCCCAUUUUUUUUAAUGAAGGACAUAUGAUUUUUGUUGUCUUGUACCUCAUACUCACUCAGAAACCUUGUGACUAAUUCAGUAGAAGCGCUCAGCUCCGGGGUGGAGAUUGGGAGCAGAUUUAGGUGCAGCAUUUGGAUGACCAUAUGGAACUCUUUGUGGCGCCAAGAGACCAUGCAGCUUGGAAACCUGAUCACCAUCUCCCUGGUGACAGCUGGAGCCUUUACACCAUCAGAACAUUUGUAGACUUCUAAUUUGUCAUAACCACCUCCUGUGGCAAAGAAAUAUGCUGCAGAAAUUAGGUAAGCAAAGUUUGGAAUUUCUGGGACGGAGCGAGAGCGCUGGAGACGAGCCAAAAUAGAUAGCAAGGAGAGGGUUAGGACAUGGAGGGAAGAGUGUGUUGGUGCAUGCAAGAGUCUUAUUUUAUGCUUACAUAGUUCUGUCUACCUUGUUAACCGAUGAACCAGUGCUCUUGGUUCACAUUUUGACGUUGUUUCUCUUGCACGGGAUAAGAUAAGAGUAUUUCUGCUGCAACUACAUGGAGAAAAUUGAGAGAAAUGUCUGUAACAUUCUCAGAAUCAACCAGAGACUGCUCUCAGUGGCCUCUAGAGGUAAGGGAAGGGUUGUCCUUGCUUCUGUUCAGUCAUAAUUUCACAAGUGCGUGUAUGAGUGUGUUUCUGGCCAUGUGCAUGUACUUCUGCACCUAGUGGUUGUCAGUCAAGCGCAUGCCUCUCUCUCCCUGAAGUCCCUGGAGAGAGCUGCUGGUUCGAGUAGCUUGUCAGUAAAUAUAUCCCAUUAAUAUUUCAUAGAACUGUUUUUUUGUUGCAGCCUCCUCUCUGUGUACCUUGUUUUUUCUCCCCACUUGUCUGAAUGGACCAUGUACCUUAUGUUCAUCAACCAGAAAAUACCCUCCCUCUUCCCCCAUCCUCCAGUGUGUAAAGUGUUUUCUGCCUGAAGGCACAAUUCUCUUGUCAUUGUUGUACACUCAGGGCCUUGUUGCGGUGUGAUGUAAUUGUUUUUGCUCUGAGACCUUUCAUGUUGUGAGCCGGGGAAACAAAGACUGGUUUCAUGAUCUAUAUCACUCUAAACCUUUUAAAUUCACAGUAAGACUGUUCAAGCCUUGAUUGUUUAGCUAACAAAUUAAUGACUUCCUAACAAAGGCUCACAGUAACAGAACAGUAAUUACUUGGAUACAACUUGGGUAUCGCCAGUCAAAUUGGUGUUGUGGGCCUGGUAGUAAACAGAGACUUGCACUUAGAAGAGCUCUGGGAAAGGCUUGUAGGCCAGCCUUUCCAAGUGAGAAAUAGCCUAAGUGUUUUUUCUGUUGUUCAGUGGUAAUGCUCUCUAAUGCUGAUGGUUGACUCUCUGCAGGCAGUCUCACAAUUCUCAGGUGGGCCUUCCCGGAGCACUGGCUGAAUUAAGUGGAUGUAGCUGUGAGAUUUUUAAAGUGCGUCACAGCAUACAGACGGCUGGUCUACCGUGACAUUACUUGGUUGUUAAGUGUUCUUCGGUGGAUUACAACAGGCUUAGGCAUGUUUCUGACAAAGCAGAAUGGGGACCAUCAAAACCAGUUGGCCUGAUAGAGGGUCGUGGAAGUGAUAGAUUCUGUUUCUGUUCAUUUGGUGCAGACUGGCACCUUUGGGAGAACAGCAGAAGGAAAAAGUCCAAGGGGGCAUCAGGGAGGGUUUUAGGGACAAUGGAUGCAUGAGACACCAGGCGGAAGGAAGCAAGAGAUAGAAGAUGUGUGGUGGUGUUUGGGUCUCAGUGAGUGGGUAUAAAAUGGAUAAAAGAGUGAAGCAAUUUGACUAAAAGACCUACAUUUACCUCUUCAUACAGCUGACAUAUCCUUAAAGCAGUGGUGGACAGUAUUACACUCAAUUUAUUUGAGUACUGUACUUUAGUGCAUUUUUUUGUGAGUAUUUGUACUUUACUUCAGUUUAAUUUUUUUACUAUUAUCCCCUUAAAUCAGAAAGAUUGCUGUGUUAUUGUAGUUCUGCAUGUGCUUUCUCUCACUUAGAUCAGAUAGCUUAUUUAGAGGAGGGUGACAGUUCUCAGCCUGAGCAGCUAUGGCCAUAUCCUAUUAAUAUUCCAAAUAUUUUCUCUGUUUACCAUGCGCAUAUUUCAUUACAACACCUAUUCAAAUGUCUGUUUACAAAAAAUAUAAGUCUAUGUACACAUUUUCUCUUGUAAUUAGGUGUUUUUGGUUGUUCCUACUAUUCUUCCCGUUAUUUCAGAGCUGUAAAUGUAGGAAUUUGCAGCAUGUGAGUUUGAAAAUGUGAAUGAUUUUUCCUUUGUAUUAUUAAACUGGAAAAUGUACCAUUAUCUCCACUUUAUUGAAUAAAAAAUUAAGAAAGUCAAGAAAUGUAUCUUACCCAUGUCUUGGCCAUUUCCCUCCUAUCAGCUGCCAUCUUCUUUGGGCUUUCAAAGUGAGCUGAGGAGGAUUCAGGUAAGUCUUCAUCUGAAAUUCAUGAGCUGACCUUGUCUUGGGCCAUGAAAGCAACAGGAGGGGAAAUUGAAACAGGUUGAGGUUAUGACAGAGGAAAAAAAAGAUCCAUUAUAUUGUAGAUUCAGUUUUAGCACUUCUGCAUUUAUAACUUAUUAUUAUUAUUAUUAUCGUAAUAACCCUUUUAUAAAAUGAGGCGAUAAGGUGUAGCUGUGACCACUCUCCUUUUAUUUAUUCUCAGGUGUCUGAAUAAAACCUGUCCAGCCUGACCAGUCAUUUCCUGACAAGUCAAAGAAAUCUCGUUCCAUCUUAAGAACCCGACACAAAAGUCAGGCUGAGGGCAAAGACAAGAAUAAAAGGAAAGAAAAGAACUGGCUUUAGAAAUGCUUGGCUUCAGUGGCAAGCUAGCUGGACUGUAACUUAGAUAUGUAGUUUGGAGAGUAGAGGAGAGAGGGGGCUAUGGAUUUUAAUCCGUCAGUCGAUAAAGGUCAGUGCUCGAAAGGGCUUUAUUCCUCUGCUCCACAUCAAAGUGUAAAUCCGCUGAUUGCAGGCCCUGAAUGGGAAGACAACAAGGCUCCAUUUGUGGUCCGUUUCUAUGGCUCAGUGUGUGUAAGACCCCGCGUGCGAGAACCCAUAAUACAGGGGGUUUCUAUCAGGGGCCCCCUAGAUCAAUGGGCUGCAUGACCUUUGCAUUGUGCUGCCGGCUUGGCCCGUGAUGUCAUGCCAUCUAUCCGGGUGCUCCACUUAAAGGGGCGAAAGAAAAGCAAGGCAAAGUCCCACACCUUCCUCCCACUGAGCCACAGAAAAGACAGCAUGAAAGGCAUCAUCUGCAAAUGUAUCCACCUGAAACCAGAUUUAUUCCCCCUCAAAACACACCUCCACAGAUUAGGGCGCUCUCGUAAAAGCGCGUAGGUGUUUCAAACGAGGUGAGAUUAAAUGCUGUGUUUUACGAGGGCAACAGUAGCUUUUUGCUGAAUCAUUAUUCAAAUGCGUGUUUGUUGACACCGAGAAAAGUCUUGUUGGGUGAUUCAGAUGAGCCCUAUCACUUCUGGAGUGUUGUUCUGCAUUGAUCUACAGCUAUUGAAAUUAAACAUGGCGCGGCAGAGACUCUGGGCCAAGAGACAAGAGCGGCCCUCUCAUUGUUCCCGAGUGAAAGGUCCUCUUUAUAGUGAAGAGAGACGAUGGCAGCUGGUAGGUUCUUCCCUCUAUAGAAGAUAGAGCACUUUCACAGAGUUGUGGAGUGCAUUUGAAUGGAAAUCUAAAGAGGUAGGCGUGAACCAUUUGUUUUGCUAUGUUUGUGUUUGCUGUCAACAUGUCUGUCUGUGUUGUGGGGCGGCCCCUUUUUACUGCACAAAGUGGCCAACCCCCCCUAUCAACUCUUCAUAGUCCCCCCCCUCCCAAAAGUAAAAAAAAAAAAAAAACCCAGACAUAAUUGAGGGGGAGGAAGAGUUGCCCCAAAAGAGAGUGUUGGAGCCAUCUUUGUGGGCAGCUUUGUCAUGGCGACAGAUGUUGUAAUUGCCAACUGAUGGAUCACUUGUCAAGGACGUCAUUAGGAUUUUGGUGGCCGGGCCUGUUGGAUAGAAGAGAAGGGCUUAGGAAAAAAAAAAAAAGAAGAACUGGGAAAAGAUAAAGCUGGCUGAGGCGGGAAUGGAUGGGAGACCAGGUCACAUCUAUCAGCCUUUUGACUGCCACCAUGGACAUUAAUAAUGUGAUUGGCCACGCGUUAGAGGAGACACCAUUGGGGAUAAAGGAGCCUCCUUGUGAUGGUAUGAAAUCUUCAAAGCAUAGGAUGUACACACAAAACACGCCUUUUAUAUUGAUAUCGGUAGACUCCCACAGAUUAUGCUUGAUAAUGGUGGCGCCAAUCAAACCAAACUAUUGACAAUUCUGCGACUCAGUGCUGACUUUUUUGAAAAAAUGUAGAGCCUUUCCAGUUGAGAGUUGGGGCGCCAAUAAAAUGGGAUCACCCCAAUGCAGACAGAGGCUUAAUUCUCUGGUGGCACAUUCAAGGUCAUUUAAUGGAGUGUCGCCAUCUUCUUCAAAGUGACACUUAGCGCCAAACUACAUUGUCAGUUUGAUGGUAUAAGACACCCUUCUAUGCACACACAUACACACCCACACACACUCAUACGCAAACACCCAAAAGCUCCCCAGAGGUCAAUUAGUACAGACAAGGGGCUUUCAGACAAAGGGUGCUAGUGGCCUAGAGCAACCAAGGGAACCACAUAAUUAACAGUUAUAAAGUACUUUACUCUGUUAAUUUAAUUAGUUAAUCCUUUUAUCAGCAAUGCUUUGUUGAAGGAAGUCAUUACAGGGCUCUUCAUCCAGUGUCACACAUGGACUAAGGCCCUUCUUCCGGCAUUUCAGGGCUGAAUUGCUGGUAAUGGAGCUUCAGUGAUCUGAUCUGUGAUGCCUUCAAAGACACCCUGAGUGCUGGGAGAAUUACACACCACAUCAAGAAACUGUUGUCAUAUGUUAAUUUUGCUCAUUAACCUUGAUUCUUGGCCUCGGUAAGGUGUAGGGAUGUUCCAGAAAACUGUUGUUUGAGGCCAUUUGGCUGUUUCCAUUUUUUUGAUCGUACAGCCACUCAACAAGAAAAGGGACAUGUUCAGAUCAAAUAAUCAGCAGCAUAUGAAAUCACAGGUUAAAUGGGGAUGUUUGAAGUCAAACCACCAUUUUUCAUGUGCUGCCAAGUCUCAUCCUCUUUGUCCCUUUUAAAACACCACCACCCCCUCCGCCUGCUCAUAUCUGUCUUUGCACUCUGGAAAUUAUUCAAAUGAGCAAAGCCCACCAUCACAUUUAUUUUACAGCACCACUUGAAGUGUUGACAACAAUGUGCGUGUAAUCCUAUGUGUUGGAGCUGCACGUGGAGUCACCUCUUUUCAGGUGCGGGACCUUUGAACAUCAAAUCUCUUUUUGGUUAUGUUUUUAAUAACCUGCUCUGUUGCCCCUGUUGGGUAGUGAAACACAAUAUUGGGGUUCGGGAGGGGGGUGACUGGAGGGACACCCUCUGGUUCGAGCCUCUCUGUAGUUACAUGAACGUUUAACUCACACAAAAGCAUAAAAAAGAAAACAGAAAUACGCACAGGCAAAAAAAAAUCAUCUUAACCCCCUUCCAUUUUUGAAGUGGUGCACAAGGUCCUGCUGAUUACUACAAGCCAUACAGUCACAGCUGAACACCAUUAUCGAUGAAUGUAGUGGGCUGAAGAUAGAUGUCAUACUGCCUAAAUAUAAACUCCAACACAGUUUGCAACACCUUCAUGAUUAGUAAAGUACGUUUUGUAAUGCGUCUAUAAACAGCAGUUUUUCUCUGCAAGCACAGUCAGCUGGGCUCUCCUUCAAAGAAACAAUCCAUUCUUCCUUUUAAAAGACUAUUUUCUUCACUUUUUGUAGGAUGGUUUGCAUGCAGUGAGCAAAGGACAACCAGUACCGAGUUUGCAAUCAAACACAAUCUCUUCAUCUGACCAGAUGGCUGAUUGUUUACUUGUGUUGGAAAAACCUCUGAUUGCAAUCACUCUCCGCCAUCACAACUCCAUUAGACUGAGUUAGAAAUCACCAUGAUGGGGACGCAACAACACCUGUUAGUUACAGUUAAUGUUGACCUGGCAUGUGUGGAUCAGAUCAGACCCCAUGGUUAAUUAAAAUAUAGGCAGUACCCUCACAGCCCCCUCAAGGCCUCUGGUUCAGAAAAGUGGAGAACAUGAAAAAGCAUUCUUCUGUAUUCCUGCAACCAUUCCUCCAUUGCCGGAGCUCCGUGUAAAUAAUACAAACGAUCACAAACAAAAAUAGCCGGUACAAGACGGAGUGUUGAAUAUUUAACAAAGCAGUGCCCUACUGACAAACAUGGGCCUCGAAACCGGAUGUCACAUGUUUACUUUUUGGGAAGAGAGGACAUACUACACAGUGGUAGAUCCUUUUAUUCGAACUCACAGUUUGUGCUGCAUGAUAUUGCGACUCAGAAUCUAUUUACUUACACUGUGAUGUGUUUUGUUCUCAUGAUAUACAGUGUGUUGCAUUAUGAUAUGACAAGUGUGGGGUUUUUUUUGUUAUCCAAAAUUGACAUUCGCAUUAAAGUAAGUGAUUUAAAAAAUGUGUGCUUUGAAUUAAACACACAGUUUCUGUAUCUUUUCCUAAUGUUUUAUACAUAACAUGUUUAUCCUGCAUCCAUCAUGAAAUCAAAAUGCUUUUUUUUUUCUAAAUUGUUAAUAAGAAGUAAGCAGAUAGGUAAAGCCUCCCCAGACUGUCUUAGUGCCUCAAGGUGAUGUGAAAGCAUGAACAGUAUACCCUGACAUAUAUUUCUUUGUUGGUGUUUGUGAGCCUUUUUUUUUAACAGUCCUCUUAAAAAAAGAAAAGAAUCUAAAAUGUUUUCAACAGUACUGUUUUUUAUUAGAGUUUUGGCCUUUACGGAAUCAGGCAGAUGAACAAAAACAGAGAUUGCAUAGAGAGUGUGGGAGGACAGGAUCUGAACGCUCUCAGGACAUGGAGAGCCGUAGCCUCUGUGUGUGCGUGUUUUUUUUUUUUUAUGUGUGCUCUUCUAACUCAGCCAAAUCAGCACCCCCCAAAAGCAAAUGUUACAUCUGUGAAAUAUUAUCCAUGAAAGAUAGUUAAACAGAAUUAAAAACAAUGUACACUAAGCUAUGUUCCACAUAACUUCAGGCUAUAGGCUCAAGUUUAUAAACUCCCCCAUCCAUGAAGAAAUGGCUCUCCUGUAAUUUCUGGCAGCCUUUGAUGGGGAUUUGUGCCCAAAUGAAAAUGCAUCUGAAAUGAGCAGCCCUCUGUGGCCCCCACAGUGUGCAAAGAUGGCAUACAGCAAUAAUCUUAAAAAAUGUAAUUAAACACAGAUAAGAUUAAUACAAUCAGGGAGAGAUGAUUGAAAGAUGCUGUUGUUGUGUAGGAGGGUGGUGAGGCCCCCGGGCCCCUGGGCCCCCAAAACGAGAUGGCUAGCUGUGGGGAAGGGGGGCCCUUCGCACUGGGAUUAGCUCAGCCAGGUGGGGGAGCUUCGUGGUUUGAGCAUUUAAAUUAGCGGUGAGAUGACAACCCCCAUUAGGAGGGAUUAAAGGCCUGCUGGCAGACAGAAAUGCACUGGCACUGGCAGGGGCAUCCGUCACACAAAACCCAAGGCGCUGUGGCACAAGUCAGUCACUUGACAGCCGCUGUCGCUUUCUCUCCCCACAUACCAUGUUAUAAUGCAAUUUGAUCAAACUUGUAUUUAAUUUAGACUUUUAUUAUCCCGUAUUCCUGUUCAUAUAGUGUAACUCGGUGAUGGAAAAGAACAUUUUGUUUAAUGAGCAGAACGGAAACACUGAAAUGAGUCUUUAUGUUGCUCUGGAGCGUUUCAGCUGUUUUGUGUUUAUGUUGAGGCAGUAGGUGUCCAUACACAUUUUUAUGCUGCUUGUGUAUUCAGUGAUAAAGUCAGUCUAACUAUUCAUCGUGGUUUUGUAAAUGUACACGUUUCCCUGAAUAACUUUGCUGUCUUGAGCAGUUCCUCCUUUUUCUGCUGCUUAGCUUCUGAAAUUUUCUCUACUUUUAUGCUCUUUAUUUCUAUUUUCACAGCUGCCCCCUUUUCAUGGCUGCGUUUCAAAUGUGAGAGCCUCAGCAGCCAAACUAUGCGGCCUCUCUUAAAGUUAAUUCAAGAGGACAGCGCCCAGGUUCAGGGGUGAGAUUGCACAGAAGCCCAAUCACCGUGGAGGUUCCCUGUAGUGAAUCUGUCUGUCUGCGGGAUUGUGCUAACGUCAAAAAGCUGCGAGAGGAAUUACUGGCUUACUGCCACCUGACAAUGGCACUUUUUGUUCCUGAUGCGCUCCCAAGUUCUGAAGGCAGCGAGGAAAACAAAACCAGAACCAGCAAUCCGAUUAAAACAAUCUCCUUGUGUCCUGAUUAACGCACAUUUACAUGAGAAUAGCCCUCUGUGAUCGAACAGUGGUAGGUGAGUCCAGCUCUCUAUGUGGUGUUGCAGCCUGAAGGAAGCCCACAAUGCACUGCGACAGGAAUCCUUCCCUGCCUGCACGCUUGCAUCCAGGCUGUUUGGCCCUGUGCCGCUCAUCGUAAAUGUGUCAUCUCUCUCAUGGAAGCUUACAAACAAGAACUUUUAAAGCCCCACCACCUGCUGGAGUAAGAACUGGGAUCAGUGGUGGAUGAGAGGAUCUGAUCUCCAUGCAAACGAAGCGCUGACAUGUUCCUGAUAGACACAAUGACAGUAAAAGCAGGGACGCUCUCUUUAAAUAUGCACUUGGAGUUAUGAUCAGUGAUGAACGUACACGCGUCUGGAGUUGUGUCUGUCCCUUAUUAGUGAGUCGAGGGCAGCAAAACAAACGGUGACAGGCACUGCAAGGGUGUCAGAAACAGCUUGAGAUGGCGGAGAGGGAGAAAAACAGAGAUGACGAAAAAAGAACUGUAGACAGACAACGUCAGAUGUCACUGUUUGGUAUUUCUACAAAGCUCCAGAGAGGGAGAAACAGAGAGAGAGAGAGAGAGAGAGAGAGUUAGCCUGGAGCCAUGGCAGCGCUCGAGACAAAUGAAGUGAGAGCGAGCGAGGCUCCUGUGCCAUCCUGGGCCUUCUCUCUCUCUCUCUCUCUCUUUCUCUCUCUCUCUCUCUCUCUUCCCCUACAGAACGCCCAGCUCUCCAGCGGCAAAAAGAAAAUCAAACAAUUAGCAGGAGGGAAAUAAAAGGUCCUUUUUCGCCCUGCGGCACUUGUAAACAUGGUAAGAGUGUUUGGAAAAUGCCGCUGUCAUCAUACCAAGUUGUGUUUCUUACUGGAGCUGGUGACAAUUUCAUAUAUAAUCAAUUCAAGAUGAUAAAAGAAAAUUGUGUUUAUUUUCAAGUUUGCAAACAUAUAUUUAGACUGAAUGCACCUAAAAGCCUUAGAUUUAUUGAAAUAUUUCCAUUUGUUUUUUAGAUAAAUGCUAAUAAAUGAACUUAUACCAUGCUUUUGCAUAUAAAUUUUAUAAUAAACAUAAUACUCAGGAAGUUUUGCAAAGCAGGGAUUACAUUGAAAUGGAGGCAUAGAUAAGGUACUUCUUUCUUGUAUUUGAAUAAUUUAAUUUCCACAGUUUCAAUGUGUCCUUUAAGUUUAUAUUUUAAACCUAUGUGAAACAUGCAUCCAAGUCUAGAAAAAUACAUAACUAUGGUUAAAAAUUCACCAAAGUAUAAAACUACAUUUUGUUAAAGACUCUACAUACCAAUUUACUAGUUAGUGUGCUUUUAAAAGAAGUUUUAACUUUAAAAACUGGAACAAGUAUAAAACCAUCAACCUAAACCGGUUUGUGUCUGGGUUGUUUGUUGUGCAAACCCUUCAGUCUACUGAGGCAACGUUCAGAGCGACAUGGAGCAGCUUUAAAGUAUGGAGCAAGAACAUGACUUUCCCCCGUAUCGCUACAGAGUUCAGCCGGCUCCUCUAAGUGGAAUUCUUAACUAUGGGAUCCCUUCACAGCAAGGAGUUUGUGUUUACAUAAAUAAGCCAGCCGAGGUCUGGGACCCUGCACUGAGGACUGGGGCCAUCCCUCCCACUCCUUAGUCUUAAAUGGAACAGAGCAAAACAUGGACGUUAAUGUAAAAGCAGAAAACAAGGAACAUGUUUGCUUCCUGAGAUGAAAGUUUGUGUCAAAGGAAGAAAAGCUGGUUCAGUGUAGGACAAAAUUCUUCAUCUGACGUUUUUAUUAUUAUAAUCUUUUUUCUUUUUUUCACAUGGUACCACGGUAUUAAUCUCUACUUCUCACGCAGUUAUGGAUGUUAUAACCACAUCUACUGAUUUAAUCCAUCCUUUAAAUUAUAAACCAUGUUCCAAUUAUUACAUAAAUGUGUAAUUGAAUAAAUUAUACAUGGUAUUUACAUAAAAAUCAGUCCAGCUAUUAAAUAUGAUGCCUGCAGGGUGUUAUGGAUUGAGAAUAGAUUGAAAACAUAACUGAUUCAUGUUAUUUGUGUUACUGCCACCGAACAUAUCAUACCUCUAAGAAAAACUACUGCAUGGUAAUUAAAUAAUUUAUAUAUUAAAUUAUGGACUCUUACUUCUUACACAUUUUAUUUAUUUAUUUUCUUAUUUAAUUGCCCACAUGAAAUAAAAACAGCUCAAUAACAAGAGUCAGAAUAAAAAGCACCUUAGAGGUUAAUUCAGGAGUAACUAAACAUCAAGUUAACUGACAGGGAAUGUGUAGGAGGACUUUUCAUGAAGAGAAAUAUUCAACAUAAAGAGUGUUACUAUAGUCCAGAGUGGGAUACAGCUUAAGACCAAACAUGAGGGUAAAAAAGGAAGAAAUUAGUUGUUAGAAUAGUAAAAGAAAUAAGAGAGCGUAUGUGUCAUGGCAGGGUUUCUGCUCAUAAUCAGAAUUGCUGUAAUGAUAAAGUCGAUUACACUCGGGAUCAGGAUCAAUAUGAAGCUGAAUUUAUUCACUGACUGGACAAACGCUGUGCUGUUUCUUCCUAGAAUGAAUUAAGAUUUUUUUUUCCAACUGACCUUUUUUUACCGUUCAGAUUUUCAUUUUGACGGAGGAUUCGGAAUUUUAGAAAUUGUUGGUCUGACCUUGUGUGAUGCAGCUGGAUUUGGGAUCACUUCUAGAAUAUUCUGAGACACCCCCUUUCUUUUAUAUUAGUGAAAAAACUUUUCAGCUGAAUCAUCAAAUGAUGAACUUUUAAAUAACUUUGGCUCCUAAAAAAGUGUCCUAAAGUUAAAACUGAAUGAUACACAUAAAACCGGCUAAAACUGAACAAUGACUCCACAGAACAGUGUGUCUGUACUGUAUGAGCCUUAAACAGGGUUUAGAGCUCAUUUUAAAUAGAGCAAGAUUGUUAACCAAAUGCAUAUAAGGGGAUUUGUGUAAUAUAUGUAACAGCAGAGCUGAUGGAUAUUGGAAGGAUAUUCUUACAGUAUUGAAUUGUUAUUGAAAAAAGGAUUAGAGGCUGGAUGUCCGGGAGGAAAAUGGUGGAAGUGUGUCUGACUUUUACUCUUUCUAAAGGGCUUUUAAAGGAUGAUAUUGAAGUGCACAGACUUGUCUCAGGUGAACAGCGCUGACCUUAGAUGUCCUUCUGCAGAAAUGAAAGAGAGUUAUUUGCUCAAGGGACACGCAUUAAGGAAGAUAUGAUUGAAAAUCUGAGAGUUGGCAUGCAGGAUAGAAAUUUAACAAUUAAUGCAUUACUGGCAGUUUGCAGUAUUAUGUUUUUUUUUAUGAUGGAAUUCUACUUUAUGCAUGAUUUAAGAUAUUAUAAUCACCAUGAAUAAAAGCAAAAACUGCUAAUUGUUAUUUUAAAGCUCCAAAUGCAACUAUAUUCUUUACUAUUUGUGUAAUCUCAUACCUUAAAUGUAUCUUUCUCUGUAUGUGUAAGUGCAAUUAUUCCCCCCUCUCCCCCUGCUCAUAUACUUGUAAGUCAGUCUGUCUCCUCACAUAAAGCAGUGGGUGAACAUGCUGCUCACAGUCCACAGAGCCACUGGAGUCCAGUGUUGGCCUGACCUGUCCACAUUUUCCCCAGCCUGUCUCUGUGCUCCCAACAUCCCUCUAAGUACUGUUUUACACUCGGGCACCCUCUAGGGCUGCGGGGGCCACUCUGAUGGAGAUGGAUGCGCCGGUGCUCUACUGCCCUCCAAUGGCAGCUGCAACACACAAAACACACACACUCUCACACGCACACACACAGUCAUACACACUUACACGCAGAGAGAGUCAGCAGUGCUCCAGUCUGCCUGCCAGUGCUGGGCAGUUAGCGCUCAGCACUGAGAGGGUGGACUGAAGAGCAGGAGAGUGACCAAAGAGGGGCCAAAGGAGAAAGGCCUCCACACAGGAAAACUAGUUCAAGCAGGUGAUGCCAUGCAGGACAAGCAUGUUAGGAAGGCUGUGAACAGAUGUAAGGAAGCACGCUUGCAUGAUGGAUGCUAAAGUCUGCAGGCCAUUCCCUCUGCAAGAACAACUGUCCAUGGUUCAGUUUCUGACAGGAUUGCUAGUUUUUACUUUGUCUGUUUGCAGAAGACAAAAAAAAAAUACACACAUGCACAUGCAAAUACACACACAGUCACAAGUGAGCGUGCACACAGAGCCAUAUAUAGUUCAUAGAGAUAAAUGUAGACAGUGUUCAGAGGCCCAGAUGGCUCAGUCACAAUGGCGGUGCAGGGCAGCCUUUGAUGGGUGUGAGUGAUUGAUUUCAGGCUUGACUGGCUCUGAUAGAGUCACCUCAGGAGGCGCCUGGCAACCGCAGGCCCAUGCCGGAGCCCUUUCGGCAAGAAACAAGAUGGAGCUGAGAAUCUCGCUGGAUGCCCAGCAGCUUCAUUCGUGUCCCCAUAGAAGUCCAAUACAUUCUGGGUACUUACAACCACUGGAAUUGGAUGGAUUUUGUCACUGGCUUCAACUUUCAAUGGUGAAGCGGUUUACAGUAGAGUAAUAGGUCAUUCAAUAUGUCACAGCAUGUUACCGUGAACACAAAACAUGCCUAUUUUCAUUUGGGAAGUUCUUUUAAAUCGCUUUGAUUCUCUGCGGAGCAUAAAUACAACUGUGAAACUAUCAAAUCUGAUACAAAUUUUAGACUCCCAAAGCCCUCACUAGUGUGUUUCAAGUGUAUUUUAUAUCCAUAUGGCGUUUCCUUUGUUGCUUUAUGCUCUGUUGAAACGCUGUAAUUUGCCCUGCAUGAAGAUAUUGAGCGAUAGCUGUAAUGGAAUACGACUGUCAUCUUGGGGUGACAUUUUCAGCACUGCCACUGUGCUGCGGCUGACUCCGCUGAGCUAGCCAGGCAGGAGGGGCAACGUGUUCACGGGGACGUAUUUGCCCCGGAGUCAUCUCGGUUACCCUCGACACUGUGACAUGGUUUGACAAUCAAUUAACUGUCCCCUCGCUAAACAAGACUUCUUCAAUCCUGAA